GACGGAGGAUGCAAGUGUUAUCCGGAAUCACUGGGCGUAAAGCGUCUGUAGGUCGUUUAAAAAGUCUACUGUUAAAAAUUGAAGCUUAACUUCAAAGAUGCCGUAGAAACUUUUAAACUUGAGUAUGGUAGGGGUAGAGGGAAUUUCCAGUGGAGCGGUGAAAUGCGUAGAUAUUGGAAAAGACCACCAAUGGCGAAGGCACUCUACUGGGCCAUUACUGACACUGAGAGACGAAAGCUAGGGGAGCAAACGGG
rnacentral:rRNA from 1 species